UCUCCGUUGGUGAACCAGCGGAGGGAUCAUUACAGGACUCGCAAGACUCCUUCACCCUGUGAACCUCACUACAAGCACGUUGCUUCGGCGGGUGUCCCGGCGGGGGUUUUCCCUCGCCGGGGCGCACAGCCCGCCGGCAGCCUACUAUACUCUGUCUCUUUGCGUUGGCAUCUCGAGAAAAAAUAAACAAGUUAAAACUUUCAACAACGGAUCUCUUGGUUCUG
rnacentral:misc_RNA from 1 species